rnacentral:lncRNA from 1 species
CAAUACUGCAGAGAUGGGCCAAGCAGAUGAAAUCUGAUUAAGGAAUGUUUCCCUUAAAGGGUAGAAUCCUUCUAUUUGAGUGGCUGGAUCUCUGCAAAGGAAGAAACAGUGCCCAGUAUGAGAGAGUAGCACAAUUCUUCUCAGAAGAACUGAAGGUAACCCACUUCAGAAAGCUUUAAGCUGGAGGAAUGCUUUGAAAGAAAAUAUGUGAGAUGUAUUAUUCAAGUUGGGAAUUUCACCUGUGCUCUGGAGGACUCCUGACAUCUUUAAUCUGAGAGUGGGAAGCUCAGCAGAAUUCUAUUCCUUUCACUUUGUCCUAAUAUUAAGAGUUCUUCAGAAGAGAAUACUGAGCCGACUUUUUGCUGGAUCACUCUACAGAUUAUGUUUUAGAGCAGUAAAUAUUGUUCUCAUGGAACUCAAACCCAAAACAAUAAACAUUUUCCCUAA